rnacentral:lncRNA from 1 species
GGCCAGGGUAAUCUAUCAGAUGGAUUUGAUAUUUUGAAAUACAAUAUGGAUAUUUUGAUCAGAGUUGACAGUUGAACUCUGAGGUGUCCUAUGACCAUUUUGGUCAAGGGGAUGAAUUAUAUGAAAAUUAUAUCCGCAUGGGUUCUAAGGAUGUUGUUUUACACAUUCGACCUAUCCGAUCGUCGGAUACCAUUGCUAGAUGGUCGGUUCGAUUGGUAUAG